UACGGAAGGCAGCAGUGGGGAAUAUUGCACAAUGGGCGCAAGCCUGAUGCAGCCAUGCCGCGUGUAUGAAAAAGGCCUUCGGGUUGUAAAGUACUUUCAGUCGUGAGGAAGGUGUUAAGGUUAAUAACCUUAGCAAUUGACGUUAGCGACAGAAGAAGCACCGGCUAACUCCGUGCCAGCAGCCGCGGUAAUACGGAGGGUGCGAGCGUUAAUCGGAAUUACUGGGCGUAAAGGGCACGCAGGCGGUUAAUUAAGUUGGAUGUGAAAUCCCCGGGCUUAACCUGGGAAUGGCAUUCAAGACUGGUUAGCUAGAGUCUUGUAGAGGGGGUUAGAAUUCCAUGUGUAGCGGUGAAAUGCGUAGAGAUGUGGAGGAAUACCGGUGGCGAAGGCGGCCCCUGGGACAAAGGACUGACGCUCAUGUGCGAAAGCGUGGGGAGCAAAC
rnacentral:rRNA from 1 species